CACGUAGGGUGCGAGCGUUGUCCGGAAUUAUUGGGCGUAAAGAGCUCGUAGGCGGUGUGUCGCGUCGGCCGUGAAAACCUGCAGCUUAACUGUGGGCUUGCGGUCGAUACGGGCAUCACUGGAGUUCGGCAGGGGAGACUGGAAUUCCUGGUGUAGCGGUGAAAUGCGCAGAUAUCAGGAGGAACACCGGUGGCGAAGGCGGCUCACUGGUCCGGUACUGACGCUGAGGUGCGAAAGCGUGGGGAGCAAACAGG
rnacentral:rRNA from 1 species